GGAUUAGAUACCCUGGUAGUCCACGCCGUAAACGAUGUCAACUAGCCGUUGGACUCAUUUAAGGGUUUAGUGGCGCAGCUAACGCGAUAAGUUGACCGCCUGGGGAGUACGGCCGCAAGGUUAAAACUCAAAGGAAUUGACGGGGGCCCGCACAAGCGGUGGAGCAUGUGGUUUAAUUCGAUGCAACGCGAAGAACCUUACCAGCCCUUGACAUCCUCGGAACUUACUAGAGAUAGUUUGGUGCCUUCGGGAACCGAGUGACAGGUGCUGCAUGGCUGUCGUCAGCUCGUGCCG
rnacentral:rRNA from 1 species